rnacentral:lncRNA from 1 species
CUCUCAUAAAAGCCCAGGAGGCCUCAACCCUAAUCUUCCCUGGAGAAGAGUACACCAACUGUUUCUCCAAAACUACAUAACCUGCCAUCACACUUACGAGGAACAAAGGCUGAGCAGAGAGUGACAGAAGACGGUCAAUAUCCUGGAGGAUUUCAGAAGUUCUUUUCAAUGCUACCGAUACCCUCUCUUCAUUGGUUGCUUCCAGCAAGGUUUCUGAAGAUCCUGAUUUACAGUGACCAGAACACUGCUCAUUCUUGCUAGAAGUUAGGUUGAGGACACCACUGUUUUCCAACAGCCCUGAAUGACUUAGUUAAGGUGCUUUCCCCCACAGUUUUUCAUUACAUGGUUUGAUUUUCAGAAAGCUUGGCUUUGGUGUGAAAAUACUAUUUCUCAGUUGCAAGGAAUAGCUACUGAAUUCUUGACAGCACUGGGACUUUCGAGUUUUUGGAG